rnacentral:rRNA from 1 species
UACAGAGGGUGCGAGCGUUAAUCGGAAUUACUGGGCGUAAAGCGUGCGUAGACGGUUAUCUAAGUCAGAUGUGAAAGCCCCGGGCUCAACCUGGGAAUUGCAUUUGAGACUGAAUAGCUAGGGUGCGGUAGAGGGAAGCGGAAUUUCCGGUGUAGCGGUGAAAUGCGUAGAUAUCGGAAGGAACAUCAGUGGCGAAAGCGGCUUCCUGGACCAGCACCGACGUUCAGGCACGAAAGCGUGGGGAGCAAACCGG